AAAGGGAGCAGAAUGUGUUACAGGAAGUUCAGGCUCAUUUGGCUGUGUGGCCUUUGAUGAACACAGGUCUCAGGUCCAGUGAACCAACGCUCAUGGAAAACGAUGAAGACGGGACGGCUGCCAGGUGUGAACCAGCGAUGCUGAGAUGACCUGCUGCCAGUUUGCACACCCAGGGCAGCCUCAUCAGAGCAUGCAAUAACAAUGGAUGUUGGCUGGUUGUCCAGUGAGAAUGAGGGAUGCCCACCUCUCAGAGCUCCAUGGUGCCUCAUAGGAGAGUGAGCCUUGAUUGGAGGAGCAGUGUGUCCCUCGCUGAUGUCACUGAUGUGUGAUAGAGUUCCAGAACCUGGUGAUGACUUCUAAAGCUUGUUCACAUCACACUGGACCAGAGAGCCAAGCUAGUGGAAAUUUCUGUUUUCCUUGAAGGAACGUUCACCUAUAAAGAAGUCUCUCUUGUCGCCUUUCAGCUCUGUCAAUAAGCCCACCCUGCCUCGCUCCUUCUCUGAAUCAGCCACUCAGUGCUCUUCUCUUCCUCUGCUCAAUCCUUGAGCUCUGCUCACUACCACACUCCCUUAGUCUAAUGCUGCCUGACCCACCCACCAGCUCACACUUGCUCCUCACCAUCCCCCUCUCUCUCCCUUCUCAGGCUCUGCUCUGGAACCCCCAGUGCCUCCCUCUCUGUGUAUCUCUGUGCAUUAGCCCAUAUAACCCCCUGCCUUCGCUCAAGCUUGGUCCCUUAUCAGAAAGACCCACUGUGCAGGUGAUAAUUGAAAUACUCUGCUCUGCAAACACAACAGAUGGGCAAACUGGCCCAGAGGGGAAAUCGGAAAUGUUUCAAUCUAAAUAUAGAGUCAAAGAGAAAUCCGUUCGUUUGUGACAUCAGCUUAAAGGGUAAUUAGCAACAGGUUGGGGGCAUAUGGUAAUUGUCUCCGAAGACAUUGAUUAUUUUGCUCAGUCCUCUUUUUUCCCCGUUUUGCAAUGCACGUUCCUCGCUCCUCUCCUAUCAGAGAGGAGCAGAUCCCUUCAGACAGGCUGUGUGGCCCCAGCUAUUGCCGAUGUGGCACAGCUACAGUGGUUAACUGUUUAGGGGAGUGACUCCUCUCUCUUGCAGUGAAAGGCGUCGUGCAGCUCGUGCCUCUACUUGUUUCCUCCUGAUGUCUGCAGCACUAAUGUCAAACACUGGAGCGACGUGGCUUGUAGCCUUUCCCAGUUAUGGCAGAAAACUAAAUAAAAUGCAAAUACAAACAGUGUCACGGAGACCUGGCAGCUGAUUGUAGUUUACUGCUCGUGUGCUUAUUCAGAUCGGCACUUGCCAAUGUAACAGUAGUCGUACUGCUAGCAAUUGUGUCUCAGUUCAGUUUUUCAAAAGGUUUGCGAAGCUUUUAAAAGGCCUUUAAAACAGAGAUGAGGAAUUUAAAUGGCUGUAGUGUGCACGUAUAAAAUCAGUGAUAUCUCUGACUCAGCUAUAUUAGGCACUCUGCCUACGACAACUUAAUCUUAGUUGUAGCCACAGUUGAUGCGUGCCAUAUGUUAACUGAAAUAGUUCACAUUUUCAUCCUUGCGCCCACGCUUUUAUGGGAAAUUGUGGCUGGCUCAACAAGGUGUUGUAGGCACACAAAGUUUAAACACCUAAGUCUGCAUUGCUGACUGUUAGAAUGUGAAAAGAAAUUGCAGUGCAUAAGUGUGUCCCCUAGUUUUGCUUAAAAGUUGGAGGUGUACUGAAAAUAAGCUGACAUUUGUCGUACUGCGAUGUGUGGCUGCAUUAAACAAAAAGCUGUAAAAAAAUGUGUCAAUGCAGUUGAAAGUGCAAUGAAUUGCACAAUCCUUUUGAAUGCAUGUAUACAUUUGAGGCAUUCACGGAGUGAUUAACAUCUAUGAAUGCAUGCCAUUGUGCGCCUGAAUUUAGGUAUCGUUAGCUGUAACUGAUUUUUGUUGGGAGUGGCAGAUUCUCGCCGUGAUAACAUGGACAAUCUGAUCUCAAGAGGAUGUUCUGGCUAGGUCUUGUCCCUUUCUGUUUCCCUGGAAUAUACUUGGUAGCCCAUCAGGGAGUGGGGUGAGGCAUGGGGACAGAGGUGGACACGUGCUCUCUCAUUUCAUGCACUCUGUGUCCUGCUUCUGGGAUAGGCUCCAGCAGCCUGUGACCCACAUCAUGCUGACUUUCUGAUGAUGUUGAUGACUUUCACCAGUCUGUGAUUCUGCAAGCAACAGUGCUCCACUGGGCUCGACUCCACCCAGUGUUUAUUCUAUAGGAUCUGCGACGAGGACGUUGAUGGGCGGCACUUCAAAUCUUACAGAAAAGAGUCCCCGGACUUCAUCUCUCUUGUGCAGGCUGUCACCUGACCGGGACUGCAUUACAGCCAUGCUAACCAUGGUGCAGUUGUCUAACAAGACCCUUUA